GGCGAAAGCCUGAUCCAGCCAUGCCGCGUGUGUGAAGAAGGUCUUCGGAUUGUAAAGCACUUUAAGUUGGGAGGAAGGGUUGUAGAUUAAUACUCUGCAAUUUUGACGUUACCGACAGAAUAAGCACCGGCUAACUCUGUGCCAGCAGCCGCGGUAAU
rnacentral:rRNA from 1 species